rnacentral:rRNA from 1 species
CCUACGGGUGGCUGCAGUGAGGAAUAUUGGUCAAUGGGCGCGAGCCUGAACCAGCCAAGUAGCGUGAAGGAUGACUGCCCUACGGGUUGUAAACUUCUUUUAUAAAGGAAUAAAGUGAGGCACGUGUGCCGUUUUGUAUGUCCUUUAUGAAUAAGGAUCGGCUAACUCCGUUCCAUCAGCCGCGGUCAUACGGAGGAUCCGCGCGUUAUCCGGAUUUCUUGGGUUUAAAGGGAGCGUAAAUGGGUUGUUAAGUGAGUUGUGAAAGGUUGCGGCUCAACCGUAAAAUUGGAAUUGAUACUGGCAGUCUUGAGGACAGUUGAGGUAGGCGGAAUUCGUGGUGUAGCGGUGAAAUGCUGAGAUAUCACGAAGAACUCCGAGUGCGAAGGCAGCUUACUAAACUGCCACUGACAUUGAUGCGCGAAAGUGUGGGUAUCAAACAGGAUUAGAUACCCCAGUAGUC